UUUGUUCUAGGUGGUGAGGUAUGAGGUGUCUGCCACAUGCAGGGAAGUCUUGAAGGGUUGGGGUUUGAUCCUGUGUACUCUUUAACAUAGCUAUUUGUAUGAUUGCAAACUCUUCCAGAAUUCAUCUUAAAAAGAACUGAACUAGAAAAAAAAAUCACAGAACAUUUAAGAAUCAUCUGCGGGACUUGAAGCUGUGUUGCCUGAGAAGAUGAAAUAGAAUGGUAUUUCAACAAAGCUAUGGGGCCCAAAUGAACUAUUUUCCCAAGAGGAAGAGUACGGGAUUGUUACAAAUGUCUUCUCACUUUACGAGGAAGGAAUUCUAUUAGAGAAAUCUGAAGUUGAUUCUUCUGUUUCAAUGCUUGUUAGAAACUGUCUACAAUCCCAGAAGGCCUUAAAAGCUUGAAUCUGUUUUAUGACCAGACAAGGGUGUAGCUCGUGAGACCAUCAGAUGUUCUUUAACCACACAGGACAGUUACAUCAUACAACUACACCACCACUAUAAAGAAGUAGGGGUAGAUCUGCAAUCUUACUAUGAUUAUACCUUCACAGCAGGAGAAGUCUGUUACUUGCAACAAUACUGAACUUAAGUGUAAAGUAGGAUAAAUGCCAACAAGAGGGCUUGCAGACGAUAUUGUGACUGAACUGAUGGUGCUUAUUAUAGUAACUGCCGUUUUAUGUAGAGGUUGUAUUUAGUACAUCAAUAGUACUUUUCUAUAAGCCGCAACUUGCAUCUGGAAAAAACUGCAUGGGAUGUAUGACAUAUCUUUUUAUAGUAGCUUAAGUCAUGCUGUAUUGUAUAUCUAUUUAUAUUAAUUAUUAUAUUGAAAAAUUAACUCAAAAUAGAUGUAUUUUGGGAAAAGUUGAUCCAAGAAUGUUAAGAUCUAUUGAGUGGCGAGUGCAAGGUCUUUAUGUGGAUUAGGCUUAGUGCUUUGAACUGAAGGAGUUUGUGAUUUUUAUAUUUUGCAUUUAAAUUUGCAGUUUUAAGUUCAAUAAUUUAUCAUAAUUUUAUAUUUAGUUCAUAAUAAAAAAUAAAAAAAUGAUUUAGUAUUUAGAAUAACUGAUUUGCACAUACUACUAGUACCACUUUGAUAGUUUAUCAUUAUCAUAAGAAUUGUUUUCUUACUAUCAUUACUUAGUAAGACCCACACUUCUGUUAUUUUAUAAUUAAAACAUACCAACUGAUAUAUAAAGUUGAAUUACACAAGUUUGUACAAAAUUUACAAAUAAAGAUAACAUGCAUACAUCAGUGUAUAGAUAAACAAUACUAAAUUUGUUAGUUGUGUACUGAGAGGUAUACAUAGUUGUAUUCAAAUCAUAUUUAGAUGCAAAAAUAAAAACAUAGUAAAAGCUACACUGAGAUAUUAUCACAUCAGUUUAUAUAUCAAGAACAUACAACUGUAUAUUUGUUCACUAUUGAUAUGUACACUGAGGACUUUAUACAUGUUUAUACAAAUGCAAAAAUAAGCUAAACACUUGCCAAAUAACUGUCUGAAGAUGAAUAACCCAAGUUGUACAUUGUUCAGUGAAAUAUUAAUUUUAUACACAAUUCUUAAGCAGAAACAAACACAAUAUGAUAAGUAAGAAACUGAGCACAAAUGUAUAAUAAAUACAGUUCAAUAUAGACAAAUGUGUGCUCUUGCAAAAAUCUUUGUUGAAAUAUUUUUAUGGCUAACAUGUGCAACGAGUUUUAGAACCUUUAUUCACAAAUACAAUUGUAUUUAAAAUGAAUGGAAAUACCCAAUUGCAAAUGCUGAGUGAUGGUUUACAAAAAAGGCAAAGUGUUGUAAACACUAAACCUCUACUAUAGAAAUUUUAGAAAAGCGAAAGAAAGAAAUAAAAACAAAAAAGAAUUGGAUUGAGUUUUACUUUUCUUUCUAAUCAUAAUGUUGGCUAGAUUUGGUAGAAAGAAAAGUAAACUUCUUUGAAGAGUCUUCAAAGUGCCAUACACAGAGAUGAACCUUUCACUGUUUACAAGUCAACUUAAACCUAUGUGGAGGCACAAUCUGCACCUUUUUUUCUCUUCAGCAAAUGCUGGAAAAUGCUUCCCAGGUGGGAGCUGUUUCUGUGCAUCUGCCAGAACUGGUGAAUGGAAACUUGACAAACAAGGUUUCUCUACUUUCAAUUAUAGGUUUCACGAGAGACUCCAGUAAUUGUAAAUGGAAGUCAUUCUGUUUGUGCUUGCUAUUUUUAAUUACCUGUUCGAAGAGAAAUAAUAGCAAUGUCAGAUGUAAAGAAAAGCUUCUUAUACUAUUUGACAGUUUUAUGUGGAAUGGAAUAAUAGCUAAGAAAUUGAUCAUUAAGAUCAUAAACUUGUUGUAAUCCAAGAUUAGCUGUGGCUUGCUAAUCAUGUUACCCUAUCUUCUUGUCACUUCCUUUACUGUAGCAUUAUGCAUUGUAGAAAGAGCAUAAACAUUCCUCUUAUCAGUCCACUUUACAGCAGUCAUUGAGCCCCAAUUGACAAAACUGACUCUCCCAUUUUUAACUCCCUUGAAAACAUGUCUGUGAAGUGGACCCUAUCCUUCCUAAAAGAGCCACAAGCAUAAGUACCAAGCAAAAACAACUUAUCAAACAGUUAUCAGUAAAAAGUGUCCCCUUCCCAGGUACUUUUUCGUCAGUCAUUACAACUGUGCUAGCUAAACCCUUGGAAGGUACAGAUCCCUCUUUACUGUAGUAUAUUCUAAAAUUUAAACAGUAUCCAGUCACGGCUUCUGCCAGAACCCAAAGCUUGAUUCCCCCACUUGGUAGGCUUGCUAGGUAGAUAUUGCUUAAAAGAAAUUAUGCCCUUUGUUCCCAACAUUUGCUCAUCAAUAAAGUUCCCUAAAAGGGUUAUAGUGAGCUGUUAGUAGAUCAAGCAUGGGUCUGACUUUGAGUUUAUCAUGCUUAGGAUCAGUUUUAGGUAAUUAUUAGUAUUGUCAUUGAAAUGAAAGAAGUGAGCAAUAGUUAGGAAUUUUUCUCUGGAAAAUACUUAAGAAAACCAGUGAAAAUGAAGUGAAGGAAUGGUAGACCAGUAAUCUGUAAUAGAUGGUAAGCGAGUUAUAAUCUUGGAAAUAGUUAAACCAAUAAAAGCUAAUUUCUUUAGGUGUAACAUCACUAUACUUCAGCGGUUUCCUUUUCUUCCUGACAUCAUUGUUUAGGUGUUCCCCUUGCUAAGGUGCAAAUCUGUUUUGUUUCUUCAGCAAUUUUGGUAACAAUACCGAGAAAAAAAAAUUGACAAAAAUCAAGAGAUGUCUUGACACCUACUUGCCUGAUGGGGAAACAGGCUUUCCUCCGAUGAAGUCCCCCAACAAUCUGGGCUGCUCAUCUUUGUGAACUUUCCAUUCCAGGGGCUUUCCUUGUCUUCUUGCUUCUGGCCAUUUUGGAAGUUGAUGUGCUGGUCAUGGGAAGAUCACUAACCGCAGAUUGUUGGUGGUCAUGAGGAGUCUUCUUCCCUCAAAUUAAGUCAGGUUCCUCAAGCAAAGCUGGUUUUUGCUAUUCUCUCCAUUUUUAUUUGUUGUGGCUUCUUCAGACUCAAAGAAUCUUAAGAGGAGGAAGCGAAAAACAAUUUCAGUGCUUCCUCUAAAGACAUUUUUCUAAGCACUGAAAUAUCUUCUAUGUAAGAAAAUUAAUAUGCUGUUAAUAUUCAGUUGACAUGAUACAUUUGAAUUAUUGAGCUUUGACUUUAAGAAUACAUUUAACAAAUGUACAUUUUAUUUGUAUGUGUAUGGACAAAAGCAAAAUCACAAAAUAUGGUAAAAAAAUCAAUUCCUAUGACAUACAACUAACGAAGCUGAUUUACAUGUUUAUCAUCAAAAGUAAGAAAUACACCAUGGAAAUUUACUAACGUGAGAUAAAAAAAAAGAAAAAAAGCACAUUAUGCUUUAUGUGAUAUCCAAAUGUUAGUGGGGAGAUACUUCAGUCUAUCUCUUUACUCUUGAUAUCCAGGGAACUAAAAAUAAUGCAAGAAAUUAUUAUUCUGUGUAAGAAGCAGGUAGAACUAAUACAUACAAAAAAUCGUAAGUACUUGUGACAUAUUACUGAAAGAUACCACUCCAUGUAUGAUGAUGAUAUACAGGGGUUGGACAAAAAUAAUGGAAACACCUUGGAAAAUCAACAAAAUGUAUUUUAAUAUGGUGUAGGUCCACCUUUUGAGGCAAUUCUCCGAGGUAUUGAUUCAUACAAAUUGUGAAUUGUUUCCAAAGGAAUUUUAGCCCAUUCUUCAGUUAAAACACCCACCAGUUCUAUGGCGGUGGAAAUCGACCAUAAAUGCUCAAUAAUGUUGAGGUCUGGGGAUUGUGGUGGCCAGAUGAGAUGCUUAACUUCAUUAGAAUGUUCCUUGUGCCAUUCUUUAACAAUUCUAGCUGUAUGGCUUGGGGCAUUAUCUUGAAAGAUGGCGUUCCCCUCCGGAAACAGUGCUUGAACCAUAGGAUGAACUUGGUCGCCCAAAAUUCUUAAAUAGUCUCAGCUGUUAAUUCUUCCAUGAAG
rnacentral:lncRNA from 1 species